AUACGUAGGGGGCGAGCGUUGUCCGGAAUGAUUGGGCGUAAAGGGCGCGUAGGCGGCCCGGUAAGUCUGGAGUGAAAGUCCUGUUUUUAAGAUGGGAAUUGCUUUGGAUACUGUCGGGCUUGAGUGCAGGAGAGGUAAGUGGAAUUCCCAGUGUAGCGGUGAAAUGCGUAGAGAUUGGGAGGAACACCAGUGGCGAGGGCGACUUACUGGACUGUAACUGACGCUGAGGCGCGAAAGUGUGGGGAGCAAACAGGAUUAAAUACCCUGGUAGACCACACUGUAAACGAUGAAUACUAGGUGUAGGGGGUAUCGACCCCUUCUGUGCCGCAGUCAACACAAUAAGCAUUCCGCCUGGGGAGUACGGCCGCAAGGUUAAAACUCAAAUGAAUUGACGGGG
rnacentral:rRNA from 1 species